AAGGGCUUACAGCUUGUAAACUGCUUUUGUCAGAGAAGAAAAUCUUUCUGCGGAGAGGCCUGACGGUAUCUGACGAAUAAGCAUCGGCUAACUACGUGCCAGCAGCCGCGGUAAUACGUAGGAUGCAAGCGUUGUCCGGAUUUAUUGGGUUUAAAGGGUGCGUAGGUGGCUUAUUAAGUCGUGGGUGAAAGUCAACCGCUUAACGGUUGGAUUGCCUGCGAUACUGAUCAGCUUGAAUACGGUUGAGGUAACUGGAAUGGGUGGUGUAGCGGUGAAAUGCAUAGAUACCAUCCGGAACCCCAAUUGCGAAGGCAGGUUACUAAGCCGUAAUUGACACUGAGGCACGAAAGCGUGGGGAGCAAACAGGAUUAGAUACCCUGGUAGUCCACGCCGUAAACGAUGAUGACUAGCUGUUAGCCUGUAUAGGUUAGUGGCUUAGGGAAACCGUUAAGUCAUCCACCUGGGGAGUACGUCGGC
rnacentral:rRNA from 1 species